rnacentral:rRNA from 1 species
AUGGCUCAGGAUGAACGCUGGCGGCGUGCUUAACACAUGCAAGUCGAACGGGGUUAUUACGGAAGCUUGCUUUUGUUUUAACCUAGUGGCGGACGGGUGAGUAACGCGUGAGAAACCUGCCCUUGAGUGGGGAAUAACACCGAGAAAUCGGUGCUAAUACCGCAUAAUGUCGGAGAACCGCAUGAUUUUCCGACCAAAGGAUUUAUUCGCUUAAGGAUGGUCUCGCGUCCGAUUAGGCAGUUGGUGAGGUAACGGCUCACCAAACCUACGAUCGGUAGCCGAACUGAGAGGUUGAUCGGCCACAUUGGGACUGAGACACGGCCCAGACUCCUACGGGAGGCAGCAGUGGGGAAUAUUGGGCAAUGGGCGAAAGCCUGACCCAGCAACGCCGCGUGAAGGAUGACGGUCUUAGGAUUGUAAACUUCUUUAAUCGGGGAAGAAUAAAUGACCUACCCGAAGAAUAAGCCACGGCUAACUACGUGCCAGCAGCCGCGGUAAUACGUAGGUGGCAAGCGUUAUCCGGAUUUACUGGGUGUAAAGGGCGUGUAGGCGGCUCUGCAAGUCAGAUGUGAAAUUCCCGGGCUCAACUCGGGCGCUGCAUCUGAAACUGCAGAACUUGAGUGCUGGAGGGGAUAGCGGAAUUCCUAGUGUAGCGGUAAAAUGCGUAGAUAUUAGGAAGAACACCGGUGGCGAAGGCUGGCUAUCUGGACAGUAAC